CAAGAUUCCAGAGCGCACGACGUCGAAGUUCAAAGAUGUGGCGAGUCCUCACAGACAGGGGUCCAGGUGAGCGGUCACUGCUCGUGCUGUUUGAGAGUUACUCGUCUGGAGCCGCUCUGUGAAGCUGUGUGUUUGUGUCCUCAUGUGUUCAGCGGCGAUGGUCCGUCUGCUGUGAAGAUGUCCUUCAGCUCCAGCUCCAGCAGCAGCUCACACUCAGGUCUCUGUGUGCUGGACAGUGCAGCUCAUCCCAGCAGAAACGCUCAGACGUCACCGCAGAACCAGGUCAAUCUGAUCAUUUCUCCUACGCUUUUACGGGUUCAUUUUGUUCUGACACAGUUUAACUCUGAGUUCUUCUCAUAUUUUGUUACUAUUUUCUCAACUAUAGUGAAUUAACCCGUGAUUUAAUGUGAGACAUGUUGAAGGUGUCUGAAUAAACUGAUUAAAAGCUAGGACAUGACUAACAGUAACAGAGUGCUGGCCUUUAAUCUCAAGCUGUGUUCCUCGUUAAGGGUUUGGGAAUGAAGUCUGCGUUCAGUCCGUUAAUGAAGCUUGCGGAAUAUUCUUCCUCCAGUGAUGAAGAUGACGAGAGGACCAGGUCUCCGUUGAGCAAUGGCAGGCCGGUGUUAUCCAGAGGAGAGUGUGAUGAAAUCAUUCUCCAGCCUCAUCACAGCGCUACACAGCAGCAGAGUGCAGCAAAGCCAGCACAUAGUGUCCAUCAGAGGCCUUCAGGAUCGCAGUCCAGCGACAGCUGCUUUCUGCCCGACCUGCUGCACAAGAGCCCCUCGCACCAGCAGAGCGUCCUCGAGGUACAGCCUCAGAUCACUGCAGUGUUUGAUCAGCUGUUUCUGUUUAAUCAUGCACACACACUUGUACAGUACUUCUCUCUCUCUCACACACACACACUCUCUCUCACACACACACACACGCACUCUCACACACACACGCACACACUCACACACACACAAACACACACUCACACACACACACAAACACACACUCUCUCACACACACACACACACACACACACUCUCUCUCUCACACACACACACACGCACUCUCACACACACACGCACACACUCACACACACACAAACACACACUCUCUCACACACACACUCACACACACACACUCUCUCACACACACACACUCACACACUCUCUCACACACACACACACACACACACACUCUCUCUCUCACACACACACACACGCACUCUCACACACACACGCACACACUCACACACACACAAACACACACUCUCUCACACACACACUCACACACACACACUCUCUCACACACACACACUCACACACUCUCUCACACACACACACACACACACACACUCUCUCUCUCACACACACACACACUCACACACACACACACACACAAAUGGGUUCAGUGAUGGUUUUUGAGAGUUAUAAUCACACAAAUGUCACAAAACUACCAGUAAACUGACUACAGCAAACCUUUGUAAAACAUUAAUAAAAUGUUGUGUCUGAAAAGGAAACUCCU
rnacentral:lncRNA from 1 species